GGCCAGACAGUCGCGUCACUCGCAAGAGUGCCGAGGAAAGUCCGGGCUCCAUAGGGCAAGGUGCCAGGUAACGCCUGGGCGGCGCAAGCCGACGGACAGUGCAACAGAAAGAUACCGCCUACGUUCCUUUCGGGGAGCCGGUAAGGGUGAAAUGGUGCGGUAAGAGCGCACCGCGAGUCCGGUAACGGACCGGCACGGCAAACCCCACCUGGAGCAAGACCAAAUAGGGAUC
rnacentral:RNase_P_RNA from 1 species